rnacentral:rRNA from 1 species
GAUGAACGCUGGCGGCGCGCCUAAUACAUGCAAGUCGAGCGAACAGAUGAGGAGCUUGCUCCUCUGACGUUAGCGGCGGACGGGUGAGUAACACGUGGAUAACCUACCUAUAAGACUGGAAUAACUUCGGGAAACCGGAGCUAAUACCGGAUAAUAUAUUGAACCGCAUGGUUCAAUAGUGAAAGACGGUUUUGCUGUCACUUAUAGAUGGAUCCGCCCCGCAUUAGCUAGUUGGUAAGGUAACGGCUUACCAAGGCAACGAUGCGUAGCCGACCUGAGAGGGUGAUCGGCCACACUGGAACUGAGACACGGUCCAGACUCCUACGGGAGGCAGCAGUAGGGAAUCUUCCGCAAUGGGCGAAAGCCUGACGGAGCAACGCCGCGUGAGUGAUGAAGGUCUUCGGAUCGUAAAACUCUGUUAUUAGGGAAGAACAAAUGUGUAAGUAACUAUGCACGUCUUGACGGUACCUAAUCAGAAAGCCACGGCUAACUACGUG